rnacentral:rRNA from 1 species
GACGAACGCUGGCGGCGUGCUUAACACAUGCAAGUCGAACGCUGAAGCUCAGCUUUUGUUGGGUGGAUGAGUGGCGAACGGGUGAGUAACACGUGAGUAACCUGCCCCCUUCUUUGGGAUAACGCCCGGAAACGGGUGCUAAUACUGGAUAUUCACUGGUCUUCGCAUGGGGGUUGGUGGAAAGGGUUUUUCUGGUGGGGGAUGGGCUCGCGGCCUAUCAGCUUGUUGGUGGGGUGAUGGCCUACCAAGGCUUUGACGGGUAGCCGGCCCGAGAGGGUGGCCGGUCACAUUGGGACUGAGAUACGGCCCAGACUCCUACGGGAGGCAGCAGUGGGGAAUAUUGCACAAUGGGCGAAAGCCUGAUGCAGCGACGCCGCGUGAGGGAUGGAGGCCUUCGGGUUGUGAACCUCUUUCGCUCAUGGUCAAGCCGCAACAAUGGUUGUGGUGAGGGUAGUGGGUAAAGAAGCGCCGGCUAACUACGUG